rnacentral:rRNA from 1 species
CAGUCGCCGCGGUAAUACGUAGGUGGCAAGCGUUGUCCGGAAUUAUUGGGCGUAAAGGGCUCGCAGGCGGUUUCUUAAGUCUGAUGUGAAAGCCCCCGGCUCAACCGGGGAGGGUCAUUGGAAACUGGGAAACUUGAGUGCAGAAGAGGAGAGUGGAAUUCCACGUGUAGCGGUGAAAUGCGUAGAGAUGUGGAGGAACACCAGUGGCGAAGGCGACUCUCUGGUCUGUAACUGACGCUAAGGAGCGAAAGCGUGGGGAGCGAACAGGAUUAGAUACCCCUGUAGUCCCUGUCUCUUAUAC